CUGUUGACGGUACUGUAUGAAUAAGGAUCGGCUAACUCCGUGCCAGCAGCCGCGGUAAUACGGAGGAUCCGAGCGUUAUCCGGAAUUAUUGGGUUUAAAGGGUCCGUAGGCGGGAUAAUAAGUCAGUGGUGAAAGUUUGUGGCUCAACCAUAAAAUUGCCAUUGAUACUGUUAUUCUUGAGUAAUUGUGAAGUGGUUAGAAUGUGUAGUGUAGCGGUGAAAUGCAUAGAUAUUACACAGAAUACCAAUUGCGAAGGCAGAUCACUAACAAUUAACUGACGCUGAUGGACGAAAGCGUAGGUAGCGAACAGGAUUAGAUACCCUGGUAGUCUACGCAGUAAACGAUGGUUACUAGCUGUUUGGCCGCCUUAGGCGGCUAAGUGGCCAAGCGAAAGUGAUAAGUAACCCACCUAGGGAGUACGUUCGCAAGAAUGAAACUCAAAGGAAUUGACGGGGGCCCGCACAAGCGGUGGAGCAUGUGGUUUAAUUCGAUGAUACGCGAGGAACCUUACCAGGGCUUAAAUGCAGUUUGACAGGAGUGGAAACAUUCUUUUCUUCGGACAGAUUGCAAGGUGCUGCAUGGUUGUCGUCAGCUCGUGCCGUGAGGUGUCAGGUUAAGUCCUAUAACGAGCGCAACCCCUAUGGUUAGUUGCUAGCAGGUCAUGCUGAGAACUCUAGCCAGACUGCCGGUGUAAACCGUGAGGAAGGUGGGGAUGACGUCAAAUCAUCACGGCCCUUACGUCCUGGGCUACACACGUGCUACAAUGGUAUGUACAAUGAGCAGCCACUACGCGAGUAGGCGCAAAUCUCAAAAGCAUAUCACAGUUCGGAUCGGAGUCUGCAACUCGACUCCG
rnacentral:rRNA from 1 species